GUCUACGGCCACACCACCCUGAUCGCGCCCGAUCUCGUCUGAUCUCGGAAGCUAAGCAGGGUCGGGCCUGGUUAGUACUUGGAUGGGAGAAAUAAAUGCUCAAUACAGACCUGAGGACCUGAGGGAGUUUGUCGGGA
rnacentral:rRNA from 1 species